UGUGUUAAAGGUUUUGUCCACAGGGUGGUA
rnacentral:piRNA from 1 species